rnacentral:rRNA from 1 species
GCUGUCGAAGGUGGGAUCGGCGAUUGGGACGAAGUCGUAACAAGGUAGCCGUACCGGAAGGUGCGGCUGGAUCACCUCCUUUCUAAGGAGC